UACGUAGGUGGCAAGCGUUUGUCCGGAUUUACUGGGCGUAAAGAGCGCGCAGGCGGUUGUGCAAGUCGCGUGUGAAAAGCCCCCCGGCUCAACUGGGGGAGGGUCACUCGAUACUGAUCGACUCGAAGGCAGGAGAGGGUAGUGGAAUUCCCGGUGUAGUGGGUGAAAUGCGUAGAUAAUCGGGGAGGAACACCAGUGGCGAAGGGCGAACUACCCUGGCC
rnacentral:rRNA from 1 species